UCUUGCUGUUGGCAAGGAUGCGCAAGGGUUUGUUGGUGACAAACUUGGUGUUGGGGUUCAAAUCCUCGGGGGAGGGC
rnacentral:tRNA from 1 species